GAUGAACGCUGGCGGCGUGCCUAAUACAUGCAAGUCGAGCGAACAGAUGAGGAGCUUGCUCCUCUGACGUUAGCGGCGGACGGGUGAGUAACACGUGGAUAACCUACCUAUAAGACUGGGAUAACUUCGGGAAACCGGAGCUAUACCGGAUAAUAUAUUUAACCGCAUGGUUCAAUAGUGAAAGACGGUUUUGCUGUCACUUAUAGAUGGAUCCGCGCCGCAUUAGUUAGUUGGUAAGGUAACGGCUUACCAAGGCGACGAUGCGUAGCCGACCUGAGAGGGUGAUCGGCCACACUGGAACUGAGACACGGUCCAGACUCCUACGGGAGGCAGCAGUAGGGAAUCUUCCGCAAUGGGCGAAAGCCUGACGGAGCAACGCCGCGUGAGUGAUGAAGGUCUUCGGAUCGUAAAACUCUGUUAUUAGGGAAGAACAAAUGUGUAAGUAACUAUGCACGUCUUGACGGUACCUAAUCAGAAAGCCACGGCUAACUACGUG
rnacentral:rRNA from 1 species